rnacentral:rRNA from 1 species
UACGAGGGCUUCGUAGCAGUGUCCGUCUUAACUAGGCUGUAAAGUGAGAAUAGGCUGUUCUUUAGUUAGGCUCAAAAUACGCAUUAUAAUUUGCCUAAUGUUUCUUUAGAACUAUGAGGAUUGUAGAUGAUUGCGGUGACCGUUAAAGGAGCAAUGUAUAAGUCAUGAGGUUACCGGGACCACCACGUGGCAGUUGCAGCGUUCAAGACUUUUUUUUUUUUACCUGACGCUGAAUAUCGAAAGUGUGGGGAGCAAACCGG